CCUACGGGUGGCAGCAGUGAGGAAUAUUGGUCAAUGGGCGAGAGCCUGAACCAGCCAAGUCGCGUGAGGGAGUACUGCCCUAUGGGUUGUAAACCUCUUUUGUCGGGGAGCAAAAGCCGGACGUGUCCGGCUGUGAGAGUACCCGAAGAAAAAGCAUCGGCUAACUCCGUGACAGCAGCCGCGGUAAUACGGAGGAUGCGAGCGUUUUCCGGAUUUAUUGGGUUUAAAGGGUGCGCAGGCGGAUUUUUAAGUCAGCGGGAAAAUCGUGGGGAUCAACCCAAUCCAGCCGUUGAAACUGGGGAUCUAGAGUGUGCGAGAGGUAUGCGGAAUGCGUGGUGUAGCGGUGAAAUGCAUAGAUAUCACGCAGAACCCCGAUUGCGAAGGCAGCAUACCGGUGCACAACUGACGCUCAGGCACGAAAGCGUGGGUAUCGAACAGGAUUAGAUACCCGUGUAGUC
rnacentral:rRNA from 1 species